rnacentral:rRNA from 1 species
CCUACGGGCGGCAGCAGUCGAGAAUCAUUCACAAUGGGGGAAACCCUGAUGGGGCGACGCCGCGUGGGGGAAUGAAGGUCUGCGGAUUGUAAACCCCUGUCAUGUGGGGGCAAAUUAAAAAGAUAGUACCACAAGAGGAAGAGACGGCGAACGCGGUGCCAGCAGCCGCGGUAAGACAGAGGUCUCAAGCGUUGUUCGGAAUCACUGGGCGUAAAGGGUGCGUAGGCUGUUUCGUAAGUCGUGUGUGAAAGGCGCGGGCUCAACCCGCGGACGGCACAUGAUACUGCGAGACUAGAGUACUGGAGGGGGAACCGGACUUCUCGGUGUAGCCGUGAAAUGCGUAGAUAUCGAGAGGAACACUCGUGGCGAAGGCGGGUUCCUGGACAUUAACUGACGCUGAGGCACGAAGGCCCGGGGAGCGACAGGGAUUAGAUACCCUUGUAGUC